rnacentral:rRNA from 1 species
UACGUAGGGGCCUAGCGUUGUCCGGAUUUAUUGGGCGUAAAGAGCUCGUAGGCGGUUUGGUGAGUCGGGUGUGAAAUCUCCACGCUCAACGUGGAGGGGCCACCCGAUACUGCCAUGACUAGAGUCCGGUAGGGGAGUGUGGAAUUCCUGGUGUAGCGGUGAAAUGCGCAGAUAUCAGGAGGAACACCGGUGGCGAAGGCGGAUCUCUGGGCCUUACCUGACGCUGAGGCGCGAAAGCUAGGGGAGCGAACAGG